AGCAAACCGUUGACUAAGAGUAAGUAGUCAUGUGAGAUGUUUUUCAGAGAGUUGCCGUUUGGUGUGAGGCAAUAGACUAUCAGUGAUGAAUGGACUUAGGAGGGCAGCUUGAAACUAUUUAGAUGGAAGUAGACGCUGACGGAGACUCACCGUUAAAAGAGAGCGCAUAUGAUGGUAUGCAGUGAGUGAAUGUGUUAUACAUUAAUUUGGGUGGCACCGCAGAAGUAUUUUAUGGCUUUUGUCCCUUAA
rnacentral:ncRNA from 1 species